rnacentral:rRNA from 1 species
GACGAACCGUCCUAACGUUAUUCGGAAUCACUGGGCUUAAAGGGCGCGUAGGCGGGACCGUAAGUCAGGGGUGAAAUCCCACGGCUCAACCGUGGAAGUGCCCUUGAUACUGCGGACCUCGAGGUGGGCAGGGGCGUGCGGAACUUCCGGUGGAGCGGUGAAAUGCGUAGAUAUCGGAAGGAACACCGGUGGCGAAAGCGGCACGCUGGGCCCGUACUGACGCUGAGGCGCGAAAGCC